AGCAGCCGCGGUAAUUCCAGCUCCAAUAGCGUAUAUUAAAGUUGUUGCAGUUAAAAAGCUCGUAGUUGAAUUUUGGAUCUGACCAAACGGUCCACUUUUGUGAGUACUGUUUGUGUCGGAUCUAUCCUUCUGGUGAGCUGGUAUGCCCUUUAUUGGGUGUGUCAGGGAACCAGGACCAUUACCUUGAAAAAAUUAGAGUGUUUAAAGCGGGCAUUAGCUUGAAUAGAUUAGCAUGGAAUAAUAGAAUAGGACGUUGUGGUUCUAUUUUGUUGGUUCUA
rnacentral:rRNA from 1 species